rnacentral:rRNA from 1 species
CUAGGAUUAACGCUGGCGGCAUGCCUAAGACAUGCAAGUCGAACGAGAAGGCCCAUUGAUAUUUAUUGAAAGUUGAAGUGCUUGCACUGAUUCUGGAUUUAUUGGAUUGGAUUUCCUUCUAGUGGCAAACGGGUGAGUAACACGUGGGUUACCUGCCUCUUAGACUGGGAUACCUAUUGGAAACGAUAGUUAAUACCGGAUGUUAUCUACGGAUUAAAGGAGCCCUUAAAGCUCCGCUAAGAGAUGGGCCUGCGGUGUAUUAGCUUGUUGGUGGGGUAAUGGCCUACCAAGGCGACGAUACAUAGCCGUACUGAGAGGUUAAACGGCCACACUGGGACUGAGACACGGCCCAGACUCCUACGGGAGACAGCAGUUAGGAAUAUUCGUCAAUGGGGGAAACCCUGAACGAGCAAUGCCGCGUGAGUGAUGAAGGUCCUUUGGAUUGUAAAACUCUGUUGUUAAGGAAAAAUGCUAAGAAGAGGAAAUGCUUUUUAGUUGAUGGUACUUUUCAAGAAAGCUCCGGCUAACUACGUGCCAGCCGCGGC